rnacentral:rRNA from 1 species
GAUGAACGCUGGCGGCGUGCCUAAUACAUGCCAGUCGAGCGAACAGACGAGGAGCUUACUCCUCUGACGUUAGCGGCGGACGGGUGAGUAACACGUGGAUAACCUACCUAUAAGACUGGGAUAACUUCGGGAAACCGGAGCUAAUACCGGAUAACAUGUUGAACCGCAUGGUUCAACAGUGAAAGACGGUCUUGCUGUCACUUAUAGAUGGAUCCGCGUCGCAUUAGCUAGUUGGUAAGGUAACGGCUUACCAAGGCAACGAUGCGUAGCCGACCUGAGAGGGUGAUCGGCCACACUGGAACUGAGACACGGUCCAGACUCCUACGGGAGGCAGCAGUAGGGAAUCUUCCGCAAUGGGCGAAAGCCUGGCGGAGCAACGCCGCGUGAGUGAAGAAGGUCUUCGGAUCGUAAAACUCUGUUAUUAGGGAAGAACAAAUGUGUAAGUAACUAUGCACGUCUUGACGGUACCUAAUCAGAAAGCCACGGCUAACUACGUG